UGGGGAAUAUUGCACAAUGGGGGAAACCCUGAUGCAGCAACGCCGCGUGAGUGAUGACGACCUUCGGGUUGUAAAGCUCUGUCUUCAGGGACGAUAAUGACGGUACCUGGAGAACAAGCCACGGCUAACUACGUGCCAGCAGCCGCGGUAAUACGUAGGUGGCAAGCGUUAUCCGGAUUUACUGGGUGUAAAGGGCGUGUAGGCGGGUUGGCAAGUCGGGUGUGAAAUUCAUAGGCUUAACCUAUGACGGUCAUCCGAAACUGCCGAUCUUGAGUGUCGGAGAGGAAAGUGGAAUUCCUAGUGUAGCGGUAAAAUGCGUAGAUAUUAGGAGGAACAUCAGUGGCGAAGGCGACUUUCUGGACGAUAACUGACGCUGAGGCUCGAAAGCGUGGGGAGCAAACAGG
rnacentral:rRNA from 1 species